GAGCUUGCUCUUCGAUUCAGCGGCGGACGGGUGAGUAAUGCCUAGGAAUCUGCCUGGUAGUGGGGGACAACGUUUCGAAAGGAACGCUAAUACCGCAUACGUCCUACGGGAGAAAGCAGGGGACCUUCGGGCCUUGCGCUAUCAGAUGAGCCUAGGUCGGAUUAGCUAGUUGGUGAGGUAAUGGCUCACCAAGGCGACGAUCCGUAACUGGUCUGAGAGGAUGAUCAGUCACACUGGAACUGAGACACGGUCCAGACUCCUACGGGAGGCAGCAGUGGGGAAUAUUGGACGAUGGGCGAAAGCCUGAUCCAGCCAUGCCGCGUGUGUGAAGAAGGUCUUCGGAUUGUAAAGCACUUUAAGUUGGGAGGAAGGGCAUUAACCUAAUACGUUAGUGUUUUGACGUUACCGACAGAAUAAGCACCGGCUAACUCUGUG
rnacentral:rRNA from 1 species